GACGAACGCUGGCGGCGUGCUUAACACAUGCAAGUCGAACGGAAAGGCCCUGCUUUUGUGGGGUGCUCGAGUGGCGAACGGGUGAGUAACACGUGAGUAACCUUCCCUUGACUUUGGGAUAACUUCAGGAAACUGGGGCUAAUACCGGAUAGGAGCUCCUGCUGCAUGGUGGGGGUUGGAAAGUUUCGGCGGUUGGGGAUGGACUCGCGGCUUAUCAGCUUGUUGGUGGGGUAGUGGCUUACCAAGGCUUUGACGGGUAGCCGGCCUGAGAGGGUGACCGGCCACAUUGGGACUGAGAUACGGCCCAGACGCCUACGGGAGGCAGCAGUGGGGAAUAUUGCACAAUGGGCGGAAGCCUGAUGCAGCAACGCCGCGUGCGGGAUGACGGCCUUCGGGUUGUAAACCGCUUUCGCCUGUGACGAAGCGUGAGUGACGGUAAUGGGUAAAGAAGCACCGGCUAACUACGUG
rnacentral:rRNA from 1 species